UAGGGAAUCUUCGGCAAUGGGCGAAAGCCUGACCGAGCGACGCCGCGUGGUGGAAGAAGGCCUUCGGGUUGUAAACACCUUUUCUAUGGGACGAAUUUUGACGGUACCAUAGGAAUAAGAGGUUGCUAACUCUGUGCCAGCAGCAGCGGUAAUACAGAGACCUCGAGCGUUAUCCGGAAUCACUGGGCGUAAAGCGUACCGAUAGGCGGUUUGGUAAGUCUUUGGUGAAAGCCCCGAGCUUAACUCGGGAAUCGCCAAGGAAACUAUCAAACUAGAGGGGCAAAGAGGGAACUGGAACUCUGGGUGUAGCGGUGAAAUGCGUUGAUAUCCAGAGGAACACUCAAAGCGAAGGCAAGUUCCUGGGUGCCUCCUGACGCUGCUAGGACGAAAGCGCGGGAGCGAAUGGGAUUAGAUACCCCAGUAGUCCGCGCUGUAAACGAUGAUAACUAGCUGGUAGACAGUAUCGACCCUGUUACCGGCGUAGCCUAACGCGUUAAG
rnacentral:rRNA from 1 species